rnacentral:rRNA from 1 species
UACGGGGGGGGCAAGCGUUGUUCGGAAUUACUGGGCGUAAAGGGCUCGUAGGCGGCCAACUAAGUCAGACGUGAAAUCCCCAGGCUCAACCUGGGAACUGCGUCUGAUACUGAUUGGCUUGAAUCCGGGAGAGGGAUGCAGAAUUCCAGGUGUAGCGGUGAAAUACGUAGAUAUCUGGAGGAACACCGGUGGCGAAGGCGGCAUCCUGGACCGAUAUUGACGCUGAGGAGCGAAAGCCAGGGGAGCAAACGGG